GCCGAUGUAGCUCAGUAGAAGAGCACUUCCUUGGUAAGGAAGAGGUCGCGAGUUCAAUUCUCGUCAUUGGCU
rnacentral:tRNA from 1 species